AUUGAACGCUGGCGGCAGGCCUAACACAUGCAAGUCGAGCGGUAGCACAGAGAGCUUGCUCUCGGGUGACGAGCGGCGGACGGGUGAGUAAUGUCUGGGAAACUGCCUGAUGGAGGAGGAUAACUACUGGAAACGGUAGCUAAUACCGCAUAAUGUCGCAAGACCAAAGUGGGGGACCUUCGGGCCUCAUGCCAUCAGAUGUGCCCAGAUGGGAUUAGCUAGUAGGUGGGGUAACGGCUCACCUAGGCGACGAUCCCUAGCUGGUCUGAGAGGAUGAACAGCCACACGGGAACUGAGACACGAUCCAGACUCCUAAGGGGGGCAGCAGUGGAGAAUAUUGCACAAUGGGGGCAAGCCUGAUGCAGCCAUGCCGCGUGUGUGAAGAAGGCCUUCGGGUUGUAAAGCACUUUCAGCGGGGAGGAAGGCGUUAAGGUUAAUAACCUUGGCGAUUGACGUUACCCGCAGAAGAAGCACCGGCUAACUCCGUGCCAGCCGCCGCGGUAA
rnacentral:rRNA from 1 species